rnacentral:rRNA from 1 species
GGGGAAACACAGGGAUUGCCUUAGUAACUGCGAGUGAAGCGGCAAAAGCUCAAAUUUGAAAUCUGCGUGCUUAGGUACGUCGAGUUGUAAUCUUGAGAUGCGUUUUCGACCGACGGGCCUGCCUUAAGUCCCUUGGAACAGGGCGUCACAGAGGGUGAGAAUCCCGUGAACGGUAGGCCUCGAGGCGUAUGAUACGUAUUCGACGAGUCGAGUUGUUUGGGAAUGCAGCUCAAAAUGGGUGGUAAAUUUCAUCUAAAGCUAAAUAUUGGGGAGAGACCGAUAGCGCACAAGUAGAGUGAUCGAAAGAUGAAAAGCACUUUGAAAAGAGAGUUAAAAAGUACGUGAAAUUGUUGAAAGGGAAGCGCUUGAGACCAGACUCAUUCACCGUUGAUCAACUCCAGUUCUCUGGCGUGCACUCGGCGGUGUUUGGGACAGCAUCGGUUCCGACGGAGGGAUAAAGCCUCAGGAAAUGUGGCACCCUUCGGGGUGUGUUAUAGACCUCCGGGCAAUGCCUCCAGUCGGGACCGAGGACCGCGCUUCGGCUAGGAUGCUGUCAUAAUGGCCUUCAGCGACCCGUCUUGAAACACGGACCAAGGAGUCUAACAUCUAUGCGAGUGUUCGGGUGGAAAACCCUUGCGCGUAAUGAAGGUGAACGGAGGUGGGAAUCGCAAGACGCACCAUCGACCGAUCCUGAUGAA